AAUAAGAUUUUUAGCCCAACCAUCCUGGUGGACCCUCAGCCAGGUUGUGAACGACUGCCUAUAAGAAACUUCAAGGAAAGCACUAUCCUACUGAAAAAUAGAAUUUAGGACGCAGGAGGCAAUGACUAUCUCGUACGAAUUUUCCAUAUCGUGCGGGUGUUGGCGUCUUACCAACUUGCUUCCAAGCUGGCUCAAACACGAGCAGUAAUGCCAGUACGAACUAGCUCCACAUGUGGUGCGAAGGCGGGAGAUAAUUGCAUUUGUUCCGGGAAAACCUAAACUACCUCCUAUCAUCUUCCGAUUCUUGGAUUGUGAUCUCUGUCAGGUUAAAUCCACAUUGUAGCAGCUUUAAUUUUUUGGAUGGUAUGAUGCAUUUGUUCCUCUUUUCAUCUCUCUUUUUCUUCUUCCUCCCUUUCUUGGUUUGAUCCUGGAGUGUUACCGUAAACAUCAUCGAAGCGAUAAAUCCAAUUUAAGUAUUUCUUUUUUUAAAAAAAAAUCAGUACUUUUCUGUGAAAAUUCCCUUCCAACACUUGAAAAUUGCGGAGUUCUUGCCCCCAAGUGCUCCCCUUGCCACUUGAACAAGGGGAUGGGGGUUCGGUUCCGCGUGGAGUUGCCCCUGGAGGGGUGGGGUGGGUAUAGGGUAGAAACGUGGGGAUUAGCCCCUUCUAAUCUCAAAAACAGAAAAAAAAGGUAAAAAAAAGGAGUUAUUGAUGGUCACAUCUGAACUAAUUCUUUAAUUUAGUUUGUAUUUAGCAUCUUAUGAAACUGAACCCGAGGAAAGUGGUGGAUGGGACUCGAUACAUUGGUUACAAACUCUAUUUUUUUUUCUCUACUACUAACUGUAAGAUUUUGGUAAUCUCAACAUUCAGGGCCAAUUUGCGGUGCACACGUUUUGUGACCAAGGCACAGUUCUGAGCUAUAUUUUGGAUGAAGUUAUAAACUUGAACAGCUUUAGCAGUUCUCAAAUUUCCUCCUUGUUAUUUUCACUUUAAGCAUUGAAUGAAAGCAUUUUCCCUUCAGAUGAAUGAUGGGAAGGCACUUUAACCUCAUCAAGUGUAGAGUUGUUUGCUUUGUUCAUUCACAAAAGUCUGUUCAUUACCUCAUCAAUUGUAGAUUUGGCAGUUUGCUGUGCAUCAGUUACACAUUCUCAUUCCUCAUCCAUAGAAAUUAACCUAGUAAUGCUGUAUGAUCUUCUUUGUAAGGUAUCCAUCUUUGGCUCUUUGGUCUGUUUUUAACUUUUCUUUUAUCAAUCCUUCGUUGAUUUAAAGCAGACAAUUGCGGUGUCAUUCAGAUGAGAAGCACGGUUGAAGCUGGUGGCAUUGGCAAAAUAACCUAAGUAAUUGGUGAUUAAUGAUGUAGGCAUGCUUCAAGAAACUGGUACAGGAAUUAGCAUCAGUUAUCUUGAAGGUGUGCAGGAUACUGACAUAUUCGUUGCUCGUCUGCAUAUCACUGGACCAUGAAAAGUUGCUGAAAGAUAUGAGAAUACAGUAUCCAUUUAAAAAAGUUAUAUCUUAGAAACCUGUAAGUAUCAUAACGUUCAUUAUUUUUCCAUAAUUUAUUAAUUUCUUUCUCUAUUAUUGUUUUGUUUCUGUACACCAUUCCCCUUCUGUUGAAUUUCCUGUAGUUGCAUGCUUCAUGCCAAGUGAGAUUGUGAUACCUUAGGUUUGGUGCAAAUGCGUACUACUUUUUCAUGCUCACUGUUGCUACAGGAGUCUUGCCAGUGUUUCAACUUGUGCUUCUUAAAUUUCAAAAUGUAAGCUGUCUUGAGGGUAGGUUUUGACUUGUUCCUUGUGCUGCUUCGCAAAAGAAGAUCACAUUUUAGGUUACUCUUUUUCUCUCUUUUUUUUUUAUUCAAGGGUAUUGCAAUUUUUCCCCUGCAAAGGAUAAGCAUUUGAUGACUGGUAAAUGUUGUUAUACAAGUAUUCUUCACAUCAUUUCUGGUGUUUGCUUUUGGGGAUCUUUGAUUGGGAUGUCUGGACCCAAUUCUUUCUUAAGGUAUAUCUCGACAAUUUGUUUACAACAAUUAUUUUUGCUUUUCUAAUUUCAUUGUAAACUGAGAUGGUAAACUUUCACAGCAGCGAUUUUAUCCUUCUGCUAAUCAACUCUUAGUGAUUGUCAGUCGAUUGCAUCAUUUAAAACCCUAUACAGCUUUUUUUUUAAUGAAAUUGGAAUAUUAUCAACAACUUUGCAAGUUAUUGCUAGUUGUGUUGGAAAUUACAUGCAGUAGAUUCCUAAUGUUUUCAUAGAUCCACGGAAGAUGUGACUUUAUGCUGCAGUUGGCCCUUGGAAUAUUGAUGCUUUCUAGAUUAAGUACAACCAUGUAGCAAUAGCUUAAUGAGGUUAUUUGAUUCCAUUUUUCAGUACAGAAGUGAUCAUUUCACCUGACAUUCUGCAUCAUAUUUUUGGCUGAUUGCUCGCUCCAUUUGAUUGUUUUCCAUUGAUAGGAAAGCUUUUUGGAUGAAUGCUUAUAGUUUUUUUAUAGUUGGUGAAGAGAAGAGAUGAAAUAAAAUGGAUUUAUGAGGUGAAACUUAGAAAAAAUAGGAUAACAGUAUGAUUCCUUUUUUUCCCUAAUGGAACAGAAUUUGUUCUGUUUGAACCUUUUCAUGAUUUGUCUUCAUUUAGCAAACUGGGUGACUGCUGGAAAGACUCUGCUUUCUCACUGAGAUUGAUCCAAGUAUCGGAAUGUAUUUGUUCAACUAGAUGCAGGCAGUCCUGUAAAAUUGGAUACUGAUACGAAUUACAUGUUCUGCUCUAGGAAAGGUUCUUUUUUUGAAACUUACAUCCCCCCCUUCAAUGUGUUCUGUUUCUUUCAAUAGGUCUGAAUAAACUCUUUUAAAUUUAAUAAUAAUGCUUUGCAAUAUGUUUUGAUGAGUUUUAGAGAUGGUUGAUUGGUGGAGGACUGCAACACACACAUGGAGGGAGAUCAAGGGAAGCAGCUCUGAAGAGAUAGCAGGAGGAAGAGAAUAGGUAUACAUAACAACAGCAAGAUACAUAAUCCUUCUUGUUAGGUGUCACAACGCAUUCGCCUUCACGGAAGGUUAAGGACAUGCAAUAUUCAUUGCAAUUUUCGGUGCAUGGACCAUCACAAUAUGCAUAGCGGGGAUUGUCAUCCAUCGGUGCCAAGGCGAUUGCUGAAAGAGAAAAAAUAUCAUACACAAUGAAAUCUUAUUGUACAUGUUGCUAUAUCAUGUUCAUGCAUACUCGGAAUCUAGUAGCAUUAUGUUAAAUAAUGGCUGGGUAGGUCAAAUAACAUUCAUCGCCUGAAUUUUUUGUCAUUGUUUAACUUAAGAAAUGCAACACUGCUAUGAACUAGGGCUUAUUCCUAUCA